rnacentral:rRNA from 1 species
AUCCCCCUACGGGACGCAGCAGUGAGGAAUAUUCGUCAAUGGGCGCAAGCCUGAACGAGCAAUGCCGCGUGAACGAGGAAGGUCUUCGGAUCGUAAAGUUCUGUUGAAGGGGAAAAAGAGCGGAGAGAGGAAAUGGUCUCCGAUUGAUAUUACCCUUCGAGGAAGUCACGGCUAACUACGUGCCAGCAGCCGCGGUAAUACGUAGGUGGCGAGCGUUAUCCGGAAUGAUUGGGCGUAAAGGGUGCGUAGGCGGCCUGCUAAGUCUGGAGUGAAAGGUACCGGCUCAACCGGUAUAGGCUCUGGAA